rnacentral:rRNA from 1 species
UACGUAGGGCGCAAGCGUUGUCCGGAAUCAUUGGGCGUAAAGAGCUCGUAGGCGGCUUGUCGCGUCUGCUGUGAAAACCUAAGGCUCAACCUUGGGCUUGCAGUGGGUACGGGCAGACUAGAGUGCGGUAGGGGUGACUGGAAUUCCUGGUGUAGCGGUGGAAUGCGCAGAUAUCAGGAGGAAAAACGAUGGAGAAGGCAGGUCACUGGGCAGCAACUGAAGCUGAGGAGAGAAAGAAUGGGGAGCGAAAAGG